rnacentral:rRNA from 1 species
UAGGGAAUCUUCCACAAUGGACGCAAGUCUGAUGGAGCAACGCCGCGUGAGUGAAGAAGGUCUUCGGAUCGUAAAGCUCUGUUGUUGGUGAAGAAGGAUAGAGGCAGUAACUGGUCUUUAUUUGACGGUAAUCAGCCAGAAAGUCACGGCUAACUACGUGCCAGCAGCCGCGGUAAUACGUAGGUGGCAAGCGUUGUCCGGAUUUAUUGGGCGUAAAGCGAGCGCAGGCGGAAUGAUAAGUCUGAUGUGAAAGCCCACGGCUCAACCGUGGAACUGCAUCGGAAACUGUCAUUCUUGAGUGCAGAAGAGGAGAGUGGAACUCCAUGUGUAGCGGUGGAAUGCGUAGAUAUAUGGAAGAACACCAGUGGCGAAGGCGGCUCUCUGGUCUGCAACUGACGCUGAGGCUCGAAAGCAUGGGUAGCGAACAGGAUUAGAUACCCUGGUAGUCCAUGCCGUAAACGAUGAGCGCUAGGUGUUGGGGACUUUCCGGUCCUCAGUGCCGCAGCAAACGCAUUAAGCGCUCCGCCUGGGGAGUACGACCGCAAGGUUGAAAC